GAUGGGCGCAGCCUGAUCCAGCCAUGCCGCGUGUGUGAAGAAGGCUUUCGGGUUGUAAAGCACUUUCAGUGAGGAAGAACGCCUUGGGGCUAAUACCCCCGAGGAAGGACAUCACUCACAGAAGAAGCACCGGCUAACUCCGUGCCAGCAGCCGCGGUAAUACGGAGGGUGCGAGCGUUAAUCGGAAUUACUGGGCGUAAAGCGCGCGUAGGCGGCGUGAUAAGCCGGUUGUGAAAGCCCCGGGCUCAACCUGGGAACGGCAUCCGGAACUGUCAGGCUAGAGUGCAGGAGAGGAAGGUAGAAUUCCCGGUGUAGCGGUGAAAUGCGUAGAGAUCGGGAGGAAUACCAGUGGCGAAGGCGGCCUUCUGGACUGACACUGACGCUGAGGUGCGAAAGCGUGGGUAGCAAACAGGAUUAGAUACCCUGGUAGUCCACGCCGUAAACGAUGUCGACUAGCCGUUGGGGUCCUAGAGACCUUUGUGGCGCAGUUAACGCGAUAAGUCGACCGCCUGGGGAGUACGGCCGCAAGGUUAAAACUCAAAUGAAUUGACGGGGGCCCGCACAAGCGGUGGAGCAUGUGGUUUAAUUCGAUGCAACGCGAAGAACCUUACCUACCCUUGACAUCCUCGGAAGCCUGCAGAGAUGCGGGUGUGCCUUCGGGAGCCGAGUGACAGGUGCUGCAUGGCUGUCGUCAGCUCGUGUUGUGAAAUGUUGGGUUAAGUCCCGUAACGAGCGCAACCCUUGUCCCUAUUUGCCAGCGAUUCGGUCGGGAACUCUAGGGAGACUGCCGGUGACAAACCGGAGGAAGGUGGGGACGACGUCAAGUCAUCAUGCCCUUA
rnacentral:rRNA from 1 species